GGGGGCUCUCUGUCACUUCCCCCCGUGUUUCUUUUACCUUGUUGCUUCGGCGGGCCCUGCUUAACUGGUGGCCGGGUGGCUGGCUCCCCCGGGCCCGCGACCGCAUAAGAACCUUGGAACUGUGUCUGAAGACUGUAACCUGAGUGAAAAUACAACUUAUUACAAACUUUCUCUUGGUUAUCUCUUGGUUCCGGAAUCCAUGAAAAUGGCAUAAAAAUGGGAUAUUGCAUGUGUAUUGGAAAUUCCGUGAAUCAUCAAGUCUUUGGACCCCUUUUGCGCCCCCUGGGAUUUGCGGGGGCAUGCCUGUUUUAUCGUCUCUGCUGCCCUCAAGCGUUGGUUGUCUGGUGGGCCCCUUCCUCCGAUCCUCGGCGUAGGGCACUUGAGGCAGCGGCUGCUGCUCGUCCAGUCCUCGAGAGGAUGCACUCUUGUCACCCGCUCUGCAAGCCCGGCCGGCGCCUGCCUAUCAAUUCAAACUUUUAGAUCAGGUUGACCUCGCAUCUGAACUUGAUACCUAUCUGACUUUAAGCGAUAUAAAUAAAGGGAAAAAGAAAGUGAGGCCCUCUGGGUCAACCUCCCACCCGUGUUUUAUUUUUACUUUGUUUGCUUUCGCGCGC
rnacentral:rRNA from 1 species